AGAGAUCUGGAACAUAUGAAACUUGGAGAUAAUUUUAUUACAUGGAGGAAGAACAAGCUAAAGAAUCUAUGACAAAGUGAGCUAAGAAUUUCGACCCAGAAAGAUUCAAUAUUACGCAUUAUGAGGAAAUGGUUGGUAAAGUUGACAGAGUUUGCUGAAAAGGUUAUCCCCUGAAUUGGCUUCAGCUGCUUUUGUACUUCAACAAAUGAUCCUGCAAUCUUUGGGGGAAAUAAUGAUGAUGUUAUUCAUUCA